GACAGAGGGGGCAAGCGUUGCUCGGAAUUACUGGGCGUAAAGGGCGCGUAGGCGGCUUGGCAAGUCGGGUGUGAAAGCCCGGGGCUCAACCCCGGAACGGCACCCGAGACUGUCAGGCUCGAGACCGGAAGAGGUGGGUGGAAUACCCAGUGUAGAGGUGAAAUUCGUAGAUAUUGGGUGGAACACCGGUGGCGAAAGCGGCUCACUGGUCCGGUUCGUGACGCUGAGGCGCGAAAGCGUGGGGAGCAAACAGGG
rnacentral:rRNA from 1 species